rnacentral:pre_miRNA from 1 species
AUCACUGGGAAUCUUGUUGAAAUGCAGAUUCUGGCUCUGUAGGUCUGGGUUGGAGCUUGAGAUUCUGUAUUUUCAACAAGCUCCCAGGUGAAGCUGG